CUUCUGGAAGUCGGAAGCUUUCGUCUCCGUUUCCUCACCUGAAAGAUUCAUAAAUACUUCUAAAUCCAACCUAACAAUCUUCAAAUUCGCUAUUUUUUCCGAUCGGAUAUAAGUUUUGCACAGGGAGGGAUUCAGCUACGAAGAGGGCGGAGAUUAGGAGGAGAUGGAUUUCGAGCUAAGAAUGGCGAGAGAGAAGCUCGAGAAAGAGCAGAAGGAAAGGAAGGAGAUGGCUAGACGAAAAGUGCAGAGGGAAAGGAAAGCUAAAGAAGAGGCAAGAAAGCAACGAGAAGCCAUUGAAGCGGCUCAACUUUCAAGACGUCUCGAUGCUGCCGAGGCCCGAAUUAAGGCUGAUCAACUAAUGGAGGAAUCCUUGCUUGCGGGAAGAGGAAUUACCUUUUACCGUGUUUUAGAAGCUAUACCUUAUGAGGGUAAUGGAGACAAGAUCAAGUUGCCCCCUUCUGGUUUCACCGAAUUGUCUGAUCAAGGUGCUUUUGAUAAGGGACCUGUGUACUUCCAACUGUCGGUAGUACAUCAAGAAGGUCCUUCUGACUCGGACGUCACUGAAGAAAAGACUCACAGAACCACCCGUUCAGGUGUGUUGGAGUUUACUGCCGCCGAAGGUAUUGUUGAACUGCCUCCUCAUGUUUGGCGAAAUUUAUUUCUGGAUGAUUCCUCAACGAAACCAUUAGUUGAAGUACGUUAUGUGUGGCUACCCAAAGGAACCUAUGCAAAGCUGCAACCAGAAGGUAUAGGAUUUUUGGACUUGCCAAAUCCCAAAGCUAUCCUUGAGACAAGUCUUCGUCAACAUGCCACCCUUUCUCAAGGUGAUAAUCUGACUGUUGUCUAUGGGGAGCUUACAUACAAGUUAAAUGUUCUUGAGUUGAAACCAUCUUCUAGUAUAUCCGUUUUAGAAACAGAUAUUGAGGUUGACAUAGUUGGUCCUGAUUCACCCUCUGGAACCAUGGAUCAACAUGUUCUCAAGCUGCUAACUUUUAAGAAGCAGGAGUCUGGUAUGGUUGAGGAAGGGUGUUAUUCAUAUUACAAAUUCUCCAUAGACAACGAUAUAUGGGAUGUAAUUUCUUCCGGAAAUGCAAGGGUCGAAGUAAAGUUUGAAGUGGAGACUAAUGAAGGAGAUACAAACGUUUACAUUUCUAAGCAUCCUCUCAUAUUUCCUACUCAGCACCAGCAUUCUUGGUCUUCGCAUGAUAUUGGUUCAAAGGUCCUAAUCCUCAACUCUAGAGAUAAAAACUUCGGGGCUGGUACUUAUAGCAUUGGAGUCUAUGGAUUUAAGGGAACUUCAAAGUACCAAAUCACAGUGAGUAUCGAGGAUGUCACGAACCAUAAAGUGGGUAGACAGGAAGUCUCUUCAUCAACAUUUAUAGACCAGGAUACUGCAGAAUGUCGGAAUUGCAAGCAUUACAUACCCAGUCGAACUAUAGCUUUGCAUGAAGCUUACUGCAGUAGACACAACUUUGUUUGCAAGCAUGCUGACUGUGGCGUGGUCCUUAGAGUCGAAGAGGCAAAGAAUCAUGUGCAUUGUGAUAAAUGUGGACAAGCUCUUCAGAAAAGUGAGAUGGAGAAGCACGACAAGGUGUUCCAUGUACCACUCAAAUGUGCUUGUGGAGUAGUCCUCGAGAAAGAAGAGAUGGUGCAACAUCAAGCGUUGGUUUGCCCACUGCGCCUGAUCACAUGUCAGUUCUGCGGGGACAUGGUUCAAGCUGGAAGUUCUGCUAUGGACAUCCGAGACAGACUGAGAGGGCUGUCUGAGCAUGAAAGCAUUUGUGGGUCUAGAACAGCGCCAUGUGAUUCCUGUGGACGUGCAGUGAUGUUGAAGGAGAUGGACAUCCAUCAAAUCGCUGUUCAUCAAAAGAGCUAAUUUCUGGUGCAGCCUGCAAGAGCUAUGUGAUAUCAACAUUGUCAACAUGGCAGGAUAUUAGCAGAGAUGCAAUGGAAUGGUCGAAUAAAUUGUAAUAUAAUGCUUGGAACUCAGCAAGAUGCAGUUUAUCUGUUUGUUUCUAAGUACAACAAAAGGGUUAGGGGAUGAGCAAGACUUGACAAAUUUGGGAUUGCCCAUCUCAAAGGGAACUUGAACAAGAUGGCCAACAUUGAACUAGGAGGGCCUAUUCUACAUCUGUUUUUUCUGCACUUACCUUCACUCUCGUACGGUGUUGGGGCUGAUUUUGGGCUUGCUUCUUGUUUUUUCUGCACUUACCCAUCUGAAAGAGACCAUAUGCUAGCCAUGGAUUAAGUUGUUACUCUUAGAUGAAUACGACUGGUAUGAGUAUUCUUUGUUUA